CUCCAGUGUCAUUAAGAGUGUUACACCUGAAAAAUUUCAACAUAAAACAAUCAUGAAGCUCUUUGUCUUUACUGUAGAAGUCAUUGUACUGUUCUCAUUUUCACCUUCCGGAAAAGCUAAUGCUUUUGAUUCGGACUGUUGGAAUACAAUACUAUCAUGGUUCAUAAGUCCUGAUGUUCUAUGUGCACCGUGUACGGUCGAUCAAGUAUGUCUUUAUAAAAGAUGGGGUGGAUGGAAAUGCACAAAUUUUGAAUUUACGGAAUGUAUUCGAAUAAGAGAUUUGUUCUCUUCAAAGCAGGAAGUGCAGUGCUUCAAGCCCAACCUUCACUUCUUUUACAAGCGUGGAGGAAUUACUUAUGAGUUUUCGAAUCAAAAUUCACAAAUUAAUCUAUUGGGUUAAAUUUUUUAUUCAAAGCAAAAUUUAACUUAAAAAGCUAAUCACAGAAUAACGUCAAUAGAUUAUCAUUUUCUUAAAUGAUUUUAUAUAAUUUAACCCAAAAACUUUGCACGGAGAAAAAAAUAUUGUUCUCAGAAGUAUACUGUAUAGUUACAGUAACAAUACGCUAUAGUUAUCUACUAGAUUGUUACUGCAACGAUCUACUGUAUCGUUCUGACAACAAUACGGUGGAUAGCUCUGAGAUCUAUACGGUAUCGUUCUGAGCCCUAUUUGACGUCACGCGCGUUGCAAAUUAUAUGAGAUAUUUAAAAACCUUUAUCAUUCAUAAAUAAAUGAUAAGCAAAUAACUUUGAUUGAAUAAAAUAAUUUAUAAAACUGAUUUAUUAGUUAGUUAUAGUCAAAAUAAAUUUUAAAUAUAAAUAUAAAUAUAUCUUUUAAUUUUUUGAAUUUAUUUAUUAGUAAUUUAAUUUUAAAUUCAAUAUUAAUUCAGAUCUCAUUUGUUUAUUAAUUAUUUUUCUUCUAUUUACGUAUCACAUUUAAAUUAUAAAACAUCGACUUUAUAUAAUAUUUAGAUUUUUGGUUAUGAAUGUAUAUUUGAUUACAAAAAGCAUAAAAUAACACUUAUCAAUAAAUAUAUCAACAUAGUUAUGGAGAUUCUACUCUGUUAAUUUAUUAAUUACCCGUGGGUCCAUAUUUCAACAUCACAAUUAUUUUUAACACUAUUUUCUUUAUUAAACGUCUGCUAGCAACAAUUAUACAAUAUUCAAAAGUUGGCGCGAAAAUGGAUGUUUAGUUAGGUUAGACGGUGCCGUGUGAGGUGACGACUACGGAAAGUCGUAUAGGGCUCACAGCUAUCUGAUAGAUAGUUACUGGAACGAUACGGUAUUGUUACCAUAAGCAUACGUAUUGUUGUGGUAACGAUUUACGAGUUACUAUACUUUAGAUCGUUCGAGGAGCAAUAUUUUUUUUUCCGUGUGUAUGAAUUAUGAACUCACUUCUUAGUAAAAAUAUUUCAUGUAUACACUAAAAUUAAAAAAAAUAUAUUUUCUGUAUGACCUAAACUGACAACUAAAUAAAUUUAGUAUGAUUUAAAAAUUUGUUAGAAACUGAUUCAAAAUUUUAUUUGUAAACGUAAAGAAGAUAAGCUGAGUAUAAAUAAAUAAAAGAAGGCGAGAGCAAUGAAAAUAAAAAGAAAGUAGUAAGAAGAAAGGGUUAAUUGACUUUGAGAUGACUCUUGCUUGAGGAAAGCCAAGUUUAUCAGCUCGAGGGUUCGAUCAUUUCCCUUUUGGUCUUCGUACAUACGUUUGCUUGAACACAAGUUAAAAGCUCUCUUCUUCAUCUUCUUUAUCAUCUUAUAUUCUUGUCCCAAUGAUGCUUUAAGCCAGCUGUCUUUGAAUACCGCUCAACUCUUUCAUUUCAAAGAUGUCUGCAGACUCUUUCUUGCACGAAAUCAACGCGGUUUCGAAUCAUCAACUAUAAAUUGAAGUGUGUCAUAUUUUUAAUUGUCUAAUGAGCAAACGUAGGGUAAAUCCACUCAAGGUUAUUUAUCUUUAUCUUGUUUUUAAAUAAAAUAUCUUGUU